AGCUCCAGUAGCGUAUAUUAAAGUUGUUGCAGUUAAAACGCUCGUAGUUGGAUUUCUGGUUUGGCGCGCUUGGCCCGCCACGCUACGUGUGUGAGUGCCGAUGCGCGCCUGCCAUCCUUCUAGAGAACGUGUCUACCCUUCAUUGGGCCGGACUCGCAAUCUAGAUCUUUUACUUUGAAAAAAUUAGAGUGUUUAAAGCAGGCUUGUGCUAUGAAUACAUUAGCAUGGAAUAAUAAUUUAGGACUUUAGUUCUAUUUUGUUGGUUUCUAGAACUGAAGUAAUGAUUGAUAGGGAUAGUUGGGGGUGCUACUAUUCAGCGGCCAGAGGUGAAAUUCUUGGAUUCGCUGAAGAGUAACUUAUGCGAAAGCAUUCACCAAGGAUGUCUUCU
rnacentral:rRNA from 1 species